rnacentral:rRNA from 1 species
CAUUUAACAAGUGCCAACAGAUUACAUGGAAGCUGAAUGUUGAGUGUUAAGUAUUAGAUAGUGGCGGACGGGUGAGUAACGCGUGGGUAACCUACCCAUAAAGCCGGGACAACCCUUGGAAACGAGGGCUAAUACCGGAUAAUCUUGAGACGUGGCAUCGCGUUUCAAGGAAAGAUGGCCUCUGAACAUGCUAUCGAUUAUGGAUGGACCCGCGUCUGAUUAGCUAGUUGGUGGGGUAAAGGCCCACCAAGGCGACGAUCUGUAGCUGGUCUGAGAGGACGACCAGCCACACUGGAACUGAGACACGGCCCAGACUCCUACGGGAGGCAGUAGUGGGGAAUCUUCCGCAAUGGACGAAAGUCUGACGGAGCAACGCCGCGUGUAUGAUGAAGGUCUUCGGAUUGUAAAGUACUGUCUUUGGGGAAGAAUGACUGGUUUGAAAAUAUUGAGCCAGUAUGACG